rnacentral:rRNA from 1 species
UACGUAGGGGGGCUAGCGUUGUCCGGAAUCAUUGGGCGUAAAGAGCGUGUAGGCGGCCCGGUAAGUCCGCUGUGAAAGUCGGGGGCUCAACCCUCGGAUGCCGGUGGAUACUGUCGGGCUCGAGUACGGAAGAGGCGAGUGGAAUUCCUGGUGUAGCGGUGAAAUGCGCAGAUAUCAGGAGGAACACCGGUGGUGUAAACGGCUUUCUGGACCAUAACUGACGCUGAGGCACGAAAGCGUGGGUAGCAAACAGG